rnacentral:rRNA from 1 species
GACGAACGCUGGCGGCGUGCUUAACACAUGCAAGUCGAACGGAAAGGCCCUGCUUUUGUGGGGUGCUCGAGUGGCGAACGGGUGAGUAACACGUGAGUAACCUGCACUUGACUUUGGGAUAACUUCAGGAAACUGGGGCUAAUACCGGAUAGGAGCUCCUGCUGCAGGGUGGGGGUUGGAAAGUUUCGGCGGUUGGGGAUGGACUCGCGGCUUAUCAGCUUGUUGGUGGGGUAGUGGCGUACCAAGGCUUUGAAGCGUAGCCGGCCGGAGAGGGUGACCGGCCCCGUUGGGCCUGGGAUGCGACCCAGACUCCUCCGGUAGGCAGCAGUGGGGUAUAUUGCACAAGGGGCGGAAGCCUGAUGCAGCAACGCCGCGUGCGGGAUGACGGCCUUCGGUUUGUAUUCCACUUUCGCCUGUGACGAAGCGUUAAUGACGGUAAUGGGUAAAGAAGCACCGGCUAACUACGUG